rnacentral:misc_RNA from 1 species
AACGCACCUUGCGCCCUUUGGUAUUCCGAAGGGCAUGCCUGUUUGAGUGUCUUGAAACCCUCAAAGCCUGAGGCUCUCUUUUGGGAGGGCUUCAAAGGCUUUGGAUUUUGGAUGUCUUGCUGGCCUGGCUUUCCAGCUCGUCCCAAAUGCAUUAGCUGACCUGUGACGGGUCCGCAUGACCUGGUGUGAUAAGUAUCACUCGCCUCGUCUGGACCGAGAAGGGUUGCUUCCAAUCGUCCUCCCCGGACAGCUUUUAAGUGUUUGACCUCAGAUCAGGUAGGACUACCCGCUGAACUUAA